rnacentral:rRNA from 1 species
GACGAACGCUGGCGGCGUGCUUAACACAUGCAAGUCGAACGGAAAGGCCCUGCUUUUGUGGGGUGCUCGAGUGGCGAACGGGUGAGUAACACGUGAGUAACCUGCCCUUGACUUUGGGAUAACUUCAGGAAACUGGGGCUAAUACCGGAUAGGAGCUCCUGCUGCAUGGUGGGGGUUGGAAAGUUUCGGCGGUUGGGGAUGGACUCGCGGCUUAUCAGCUUGUUGGUGGGGUAGUGGCUUACCAAGGCUUUGACGGGUAGCCGGCCUGAGAGGGUGACCGGCCACAUUGGGACUGAGAUACGGCCCAGACUCCUACGGGACGCAGCAGUGGGGAGUAUUGCACAAUGGGCGGAAGCCUGAUGCAGCAACGCCGCGUGCGGGAUGACGGCCUUCGGGUUGUAAACCGCUUUCGCAUGUGACGAAGCGUGAGUGACGGUAAUGGGUAAAGAAGCACCGGCUAACUACGUG